CCCUCCCCUUGCCAAACUCACGUGAACCAGGAAACCUAAGAACUGCUCCUCUCUUUGCUCAGCCACCACCAACAGCGCACCACCACCACCUGCACGCGAUUGCUGCGUCCCCUUGCCGCGCCGCCUUGAUCUCACCGCCGCCGACGCUGCCACCAUUGUUUCCUGCCGGCGACCAAGCCACCACCCGACACCGGUCUCCUCCGCCGCACCACCGAGCCGCGCCACCCUCCCUCUCGCUGCCGUCGAGGAGUGCUGUCACCUUCGGCCGCGCCUCACCACCUGCCACCGUCGUCCUCCCUUGCGGAGAAUUCUCUCUAGGCGACUUUUGAAAGUGUUAAAGUGGCCUAUUAGUUUGUUUACACAAGUCUCUAAGGAUCAAUAAGCGUUGCCCAUCUACAGGUUUGAAGAUGAUGCAUCAUUGGGAUCGGGAUUAGAGAGCUUGUAUUUAGAUUUGUUUUGCUAAGUGAUUUGGUUUGUUAAUUUGGACUUGAAAUUUGUCGUACUAUUCGUAUUUCCUUAUUUUCGUUAAUUGGUUUUUGAACUUAAUAUGUAAUCGAUUAUUUAUAAACCUAAAAGUUAGUUUUAUGUUUUCCGCUGCAAAAUUCUGAAUAAGCCGUUACGUUUUCACACGGGCGAUAAUGCCUUGAUAAUUCUCUACGUAUUAUAUUAAAAAGUUAUUUUAGAAAAGAGAGUAUUGUCGGGGUGUUACAUUUAGAAUAUCCGUGCGUGCACGGGAUAUAAUCUAGUUAUUUAGUACGUAGUAUUAUUUAGUCUAAGGCCAUUCUUUAGUAUUAUUUAUUGUUUAUUUUUUAUUGUUAUUAUUUAUAUUUAUUAUUUAUUAUUUAUUAUUUAUUAUUUAUUAUUUAUUAUUUGUUAUUUGUUAUUUGUUAUUUGUUAUUUGUUAUUUGUUAUUUGUUAUUUGUUAUUUGUUAUUUGUUAUUUGUUAUUUGUUAUUUACUAUUUACUAUUUACUAUUUACUAUUUACUAUUUACUAUUUACUAUUUACUAUUUACUAUUUACUAUUUACUAUUUACUAUUCACAUUAUUCAUUAUUUAUUAUUUAUUAUUUAUUAUUUAUUAUUUAUUAUUUAUUAUUUAUUAUUUAUUAUUUAUUAUUUAUUAUUUAUUAUUUAUUAUUUAUUAUUUAUUAUUUAUUAUUUAUUAUUUAUUAUUUAUUAUUUAUUAUUUAUUA